UAAGGAAGGAAACCUAAGUACGCGACUUCCUGUCGCAGCGGUUACCUGAUCCACAUCCUGUGG
rnacentral:sRNA from 1 species